UCCAGCCCUGCAGUGCAAACCUACCGCGUUCCUCAGGUAGGCGACUCCCCAGCCCGGGAAUGCUAGGGACCUUUAAAUUUUUGUCAUAGUUCCCGCCAUCUUUUUUUAGGUCACUACAAGCCUGUUUCCUCCUAAGAGAUGAUGACCUCGAGAUACAGCUACAACCGGUAAUAAGGCACCACGGCAGUCCCUUUUCUUCUGGCUGCUCGGGCCAAGAACACCCCACGUCUGGGAGGAACCGCGGCACCUGGACCAGCGGAGCCAGUUCGGCCGCAUCAGUGGUUCUCCUUCCAAGCCUCUCAGGGAGCUUUUCUCCAUCCCACCUAGCUGUGUCUUCUCCCCACACCCUGUCCUGCCUGCCCCAAAGCAGUCCCGCUCCAUCCCCGGCCUCACACCCCAGCCUCCUUCUCUGUAAUACAUGGCCUGACAAGUCCCCCAACUUCCCCCCAAGUUCUAAGAGCUACCAAAACCUUUUUUUUUUCCCCUCCCGAUUUCCCCUACUGGCUACAGCAGUAGAGACGACAGCGCUGUUUCCUUCAUGUAGAAACUGCGGUGAGAAAUGUAAGAACGGAGAUAGGAAGAAAGCACAAACCCACAAAACAAACAAACAAACAAACAUAUGAUGACAACCAAAGCAAACUCGGGACAAAAGGGAAAAGCCAGACUUCCACACCCUGGCAAGGGCUGCUGCUUUCCACAGAGUGGUCUCCUGAAAGAAGAGAAAACGCACAGUGUCUACACCAGCCCUAGAGACCUUCCAGGCAAAGGAUGAAGCUGUAGAAAGAACAUCUUAAGACACUCCUACCGCAGAGCAUCCUUCCAUGACCCCAGCACCUGCAGAAAGCUGUCCUAGAACACGAUCUCCAGCUUCCGUCCACACUGACACAUCCCAGGUGAUCCGCUGCGCACACACCAGCCGGUUCUUAGCAUUUCCCCGGUCUCCUGUCUCUAAGUGUCAAGCCUGAUCCGUCAGAAAGGUGGGGACAUCAUGAUAAUACACAUGCAGUAGGCGAGGCAUCGUUCUGAGCAACGACUUACGUGCUCUUUGCUGAGGGAAAGCCGAUCUGAGAACAGUCUGAAGGUACCGCCUGUUUUCAGCCACCCCCGGGAAGCUGCCCUAAGCAUAGCAAGAUCCUGCCUGCAGUGAUGCACUCUUCUACUAAGAGGGAAAAUGGACACCUGACAAACCCGGACGAUGAAGACACCAUAGGCUGUGCAGUGCUGUGUGCUGCAGUGCGGUGCAGUGCAGUGUGGUGUGGUGCAGUGUUGUGUGGUGCUGUGCAGUGCAGUGUGGUACUGUGCUUGGUUGGUGCAGUGCAGUGCAGUGUUGUAUGGUUCGGUGUAGUGCUUGGUUGGUACAGUGCAGUGUUGUAUGGUUCAGUGUAGUGCUUGUACUGUGUGGUGCAGUGUUGUGGUGCAAUGUGGUGCUCUUGGUGUGGUGCUGUAUGGUGCUGUAUGGUGCAGUGUUGUGCUGUAUGGUGCAGUGUGGUGCUGUAUGGUGCAGUGUUGUGCUGUAUGGUGCAGUGUGGUGCUGUAUGGUGCAGUGUUGUGCUGUAUGGUGCAGUGUGGUACUGUAUGAUGCAAUGCGGUGCUGUAUGGUGCAGUGUGGUGCUGUAUGAUGCAGUGUGGUGCUGUAUGGUGCAGUGUGGUGCUGUGCAGUGCAGUGCUGUGUGGUGCAGUGUGGUGCAGUGAAGUGUUUGUGGUGCAGUGCAGUGUUGUGUGGUGCAGUGCAGUGCAGUGCGGUGCUGUGUGGUACUGUGCUUGGUGCAGUGUAGUACAGUGUUGUGUGGUUCAGGGUAGUGUUGUAUGGUGCAGUGCAGUGCUGUGUGGUGCUGUGCUGAUUUUUGAGGUGUAGUCUCACUGUUCAGCACAGGUUGGUCUUGAACUCUAGAUCCUCCUGCCUCAGCCUUUGGAUCAUAGGCAUGUGCACUCACCCCUGGCCUCAGGCCUCAGACUCAGAAUCAAGAGAAGCAGAUUAGAGUUCUUGCUUUGUCAUUUAUUAG